rnacentral:rRNA from 1 species
GAUGAACGCUGGCGGCGUGCUUAACACAUGCAAGUCGAACGAAGCACUUCAUAAAGCUUGCUUUAAGAAGUGACUUAGUGGCGGACGGGUGAGUAACGCGUGGGUAACCUGCCUUACACAGGGGGAUAACAGUUAGAAAUGACUGCUAAUACCGCAUAAAACAGCAGAGUCGCAUGACUCAACUGUCAAAGAUUUAUCGGUGUAAGAUGGACCCGCGUCUGAUUAGCUUGUUGGUGGGGUAACGGCCUACCAAGGCGACGAUCAGUAGCCGGCCUGAGAGGGUGAACGGCCACAUUGGGACUGAGACACGGCCCAAACUCCUACGGGAGGCAGCAGUGGGGAAUAUUGGACAAUGGGCGAAAGCCUGAUCCAGCGACGCCGCGUGAGCGAUGAAGUAUUUCGGUAUGUAAAGCUCUAUCAGCAGGGAAGAAAACGACGGUACCUGACUAAGAAGCCCCG